rnacentral:rRNA from 1 species
CUACGGGGGGCAGCAGUGGGGAAUAUUGCACAAUGGGGGAAACCCUGAUGCAGCAACGCCGCGUGGAGGAUGACGCAUUUCGGUGUGUAAACUCCUUUUAUAUAGGAAGAUAAUGACGGUACUAUAUGAAUAAGCACCGGCUAACUCCGUGCCAGCAGCCGCGGUAAUACGGAGGGUGCAAGCGUUACUCGGAAUCACUGGGCGUAAAGCGCGCGCAGGCGGCCGUUUAAGUUGGAUGUGAAAGCCUAUGGCUUAACCAUAGAACUGCAUCCAAAACUAUCAGGCUAGAGUCUGGGAGGGGAAGGUGGAAUUAGUUGUGUAGGGGUAAAAUCCGUAGAGAUAACUAGGAAUACCAAAAGCGAAGGCGAUCUUCUGGAACAGUACUGACGCUGAGGCGCGAAAGCGUGGGGAGCAAACAGGAUUAGAUACCCUAGUAGUC